rnacentral:rRNA from 1 species
AGGAUUAACGCUGGCGGCGUGCCUAACACAUGCAAGUCGAACGAGGUAGCAAUACCUAGUGGCAGACGGGUGAGUAACGCGUGGUCAACCUACCGUUGAGUGGGGGAUAACUAGCCGAAAGGUUAGCUAAUACCGCAUACGUCUCCGAGGGGCAUCCCUUGGCGAUAAAAGGAGCAAUCCGCUCGAUGACGGGACCGCGUCCCAUUAGCUAGAUGGUGGGGUAACGGCCUACCAUGGCACCGAUGGGUAGCUGGUUUGAGAGAGCGACCAGCCACACUGGGACUGAGAAACGGCCCAGACUCCUACGGGAGGCAGCAGUGAGGAAUUUUCCGCAAUGGGCGCAAGCCUGACGGAGCGACGCCGCGUGUGGGAAGAAGGCCUUCGGGGUCGUAAACCACGUGUCGAAGGGGACGAUAAUGACGGUACCCUUGGAGGAAGCCCGGCUAACUACGUGCCAGCAGCCGC